rnacentral:lncRNA from 1 species
GUUUGAGCGGAGACACAGUAGAUGGCAGUGCAUAACAUAAAUUACUUCUGCGGUGCAUGCUUCUAUUCCCUGCAGUAGCUGCCCAGAGCCAGUGAGGUUACACUGGCAGGCAUUGCUUGUUUCCCUGGCUCAAUGCAGAAAAAAGGAGAAGGCUUCUGCGAAGCAACCAAGCUACUCCAAAGCGUCGCUUUUGCUCGGUGGAUCAAGACUGCUGAAUCAGCAAAGGCAACUGCUACUCAUUUAGCCAGCCGAAUCACUGUCCAGGGUGAGAGCUGUACACACAUACCUCCUCAAGACCCUUCCUUACAAGGCGUGGAGCACGACAUUACCAAGUAGUGCUCUGUGGAGUAUUGCAGAUAUAACCUGACUGGAAUAGAGCAGAAAGUAUAUAUGACCUCACGUAAUGUAUUUACUACUUCUCUGUUUAUGUUGGUAUAGUUUUAGUUGUUUU